AUUGAACGCUGGCGGCAUGCUUUACACAUGCAAGUCGAACGGUAACAGGCCGCAAGGUGCUGACGAGUGGCGAACGGGUGAGUAAUGCAUCUGAACGUGCCCAGUCGGGGGGGAUAACGCAGCGAAAGCUGUGCUAAUACCGCAUACGAUCUAUGGAUGAACGCGGGGGACCGUAAGGCCUCGCGCGAUUGGAGCGGCCGAUGUCAGAUUAGGUAGUUGGUGGGGUCAAGGCUCACCAAGCCAACGAUCUGUAGCUGGUCUGAGAGGACGACCAGCCACACUGGGACUGAGACACGGCCCAGACUCCUACGGGAGGCAGCAGUGGGGAAUUUUGGACAAUGGGCGCAAGCCUGAUCCAGCAAUGCCGCGUGCAGGAAGAAGGCCUUCGGGUUGUAAACUGCUUUUGUACGGAACGAAAAGGUUUGGGUUAAUACCCUGGGCCGAUGACGGUACCGUAAGAAUAAGCACCGGCUAACUACGUGCCAGCAGCCGCGGUAAAAC
rnacentral:rRNA from 1 species